UGGGGAAUAUUGGACAAUGGGGGCAACCCUGAUCCAGUAAUGCCGCGUGUGUGAAGAAGGCCUGCGGGUUGUAAAGCACUUUCAGUAGGGAAGAAAAGCACGGGGCUAAUACCGCCGUGUCUUGACGUCACCUACAGAAGAAGCACCGGCUAACUCCGUGCCAGCAGCCGCGGUAAUACGGAGGGUGCGAGCGUUAAUCGGAAUUACUGGGCGUAAAGCGCGCGUAGGCGGCGAGGUCAGUCGGAUGUGAAAGCGCCCGGCUUAACCUGGGAACUGCAUUCGAUACUGCCUGGCUAGAGUAUGGGAGAGGGACGCGGAAUUUCCUGUGUAGCGGUGAAAUGCGUAGAUAUCGGAAGGAACACCAGUGGCGAAGGCGGCUUCCUGGCCCAAUACUGACGCUGAAGUGCGAAAGCGUGGGUAGCGAACAGGAUUAGAUACCCCUGUAGUCC
rnacentral:rRNA from 1 species